rnacentral:rRNA from 1 species
AGUGAACGCUGGCGGUAGGCCUAACACAUGCAAGUCGAACGGCAGCACAGUAAGAGCUUGCUCUUACGGGUGGCGAGUGGCGGACGGGUGAGGAAUACAUCGGAAUCUACUUUUUCGUGGGGGAUAACGUAGGGAAACUUACGCUAAUACCGCAUACGACCUACGGGUAAAAGCAGGGGAUCUUCGGACCUUGCGCGAUUGAAUGAGCCGAUGUCGGAUUAGCUAGUUGGCGGGGUAAAGGCCCACCAAGGCGACGAUCCGUAGCUGGUCUGAGAGGAUGAUCAGCCACACUGGAACUGAGACACGGUCCAGACUCCUACGGGGGGCAGCAGUGGGGAAUAUUGGACAAUGGGCGCAAGCCUGAUCCAGCCAUACCGCGUGGGUGAAGAAGGCCUUCGGGUUGUAAAGCCCUUUUGUUGGGAAAGAAAAGCAGCAGGUUAAUACCCCGCUGUUCUGACGGUACCCAAAGAAUAAGCACCGGCUAACUUCGUG